rnacentral:rRNA from 1 species
AUUGAACGCUGGCGGCAGGCCUAACACAUGCCAGUCGAGCGGAUGAAGGGAGCUUGCUCCUGGAUUCAGCGGCGGACGGGUGAGUAAUGCCUAGGAAUCUGCCUGGUAGUGGGGGAUAACGUCCGGAAACGGGCGCUAAUACCGCAUACGUCCUGAGGGAGAAAGUGGGGGAUCUUCGGACCUCACGCUAUCAGAUGAGCCUAGGUCGGAUUAGCUAGUUGGUGGGGUAAAGGCCUACCAAGGCGACGAUCCGUAACUGGUCUGAGAGGAUGAUCAGUCACACUGGAACUGAGACACGGUCCAGACUCCUACGGGAGGCAGCAGUGGGGAAUAUUGGACAAUGGGCGAAAGCCUGAUCCAGCCAUGCCGCGUGUGUGAAGAAGGUCUUCGGAUUGUAAAGCACUUUAAGUUGGGAGGAAGGGCAGUAAGUUAAUACCUUGCUGUUUUGACGUUACCAACAGAAUAAGCACCGGCUAACUUC